CCACCAUGGCUGAUUUUGAGCUACCAUGGGGACAUCAAUGGACUCACAACAUUUCUGAAAAUUUAACAGUAGGCUCUUUUGAGCCAGUACAAGCCAGUUCCAGCGCAAGCUAGCUCUAUCACACCACACUGCCUGAGGGUAUAACAGUGAACACAACUUACUGACCAACAGAGACAGAAGCAAAUAGAGUGUGCCUUGGAAAACAGAAAAAGGGUUCCAUAAAUUUGGCUAUCAUCACUAAAUGGACAUGUUCCAGAAAAAAGAACUAUGAAUAUCAUCGACUCUUCCCUGAAAACUCUGACCAAAUCUGCUGCAUUUGUUGAAUGAAAUGAUGACGUGACUAUAUCUCAAUCACUGUAUGUAGUUGUGAUCAUCCCAAAUGAAGAGAGAAAAUCUGGAAAGAAAACUGAGAAAGACCAUGGGGAUUGGCUAUGGACUGAAUGUUUGUGUUCCCCCAAAAUUCAUAUGUUAAAGCUCUAAUCUCCAAUGUGAUAGUAUUUGAAAGUGAGACCUUUGGGAGAUGAUUAGGUCAUGAAGGUAAAGCCCUCAUGAAUGGAAUUAGUGCCUUUAUAGGAAGAGACAAGAGAAAGAUGAUCUCUGUCUGCCUUGUGAGAAUACAAGAAGAAGGUGGCAAGAAGGUAGCCAUCCACAAAACUGGAAGGGGCCCUUAUCAAGAACUGAAUCAGCUGGCACCUUGAUCUUGGACUUCCAAAUUCC
rnacentral:lncRNA from 10 species